GUAAGAAAGACUUCUCGGGAGGGUACUCCAGGGCCCCCCAGCUUUAGGAUUGAGGAUGGCUUUGCUUAGGUACUAGAAGAGCUUCUUUCAGUUUUUCCAUUCCAGUUGUUAUAUUCAGUGCUUGCCUUUGAGAGCCCUGCUAACAUAAGAUAUUUUUUUUUCUUUUUUUUUCGAGAUGGAGUCUCGCUCUUGUCAUCCAGGCCGGAGUUCAGUGGUGCGAUCUCAGCUCACUGCAACCUCUGCCUCCGAGGUUCAAGUGAUUCUCCUUCCUCAGCCUCCCGAGUAGUUGGGAUUACAGGUGCCCGCCACCAUGCCCAGCUCAUUUUUGUAUUUUUUUAGUAGAGAUGGGGUUUCACCAUGAGAGCCAGGCUGGUCUCGAACUCCUGACCUCAAGUGAUCUGCCCGCCUCAGCACCCCAAAGUGCUGGGAUUAUAGGUGUGAGCCACUGUGUCCAGCUUUUUUUUUUUUUUUUGAGAUGAAGUCUUGUUGUGUGGCCCAGGCUGGAGUGCAGUGGUACAAUCUUGGCUCGCUGCAACCUCUGCCUCCUGGGUUCAAGCAGUUCUUGUGUCUCAGCCUCCCUUGUGGCUGGGAUGAUAGGCAUGUGCCACCACGCCCAGCUAAUUUUUGUAUUUUUAAUAGAGACGGGGUUUCACCAUGUUGCCGAGGCUGGUCUUGAACUCCUGGACUCAAACAAUCCUCCUGCCUUGGCUUCCCAAAGUGUUGGGAUUACAGGUGUGAGCCACUGCACCUGUCCUGAAAGAACAACUGUCACUGGGAAUUUGCUUUCAGAAAGAAAAAAUGUCAGUGUUCAUGCCUUUAACUCAAAAUAAUUCUUAAGCCAAAAUAGCAUAUUUUGGGGUGGCGUAUUCUUCCGCCCUUCACUUUUUUUCCCAGUAAAUAUUAUUUUGAGUGAAUAAAGUGACUCAUCCAAAAAUUCUUUUUUUUUUUUGAUGACUUGUCCAAAUUCACUGCAUCAGUUAUCUAUUUCUGUAUAACAAAACACUCUUGGAUUUAGUGGCUUAUGACAACACUGUCUUAUUUGUUUAUGAUUCUGUGGGUCAGCUAUUUGAGGUGGGAUGGAUGGUUCUUCUCCUGGUCUUGGCCGAGACCACUUGCAACUGCAGUCGGCUGGGGGUUUGGCUGGGAGCUGGUUGAUCUGGGGCCUCAGCCAGGGUAUGUUUUUGCUCCUUGUGGUCUUACGUCCAACAGGCUAGUGUCCUGGGCUUCUUUCUGAGAAAGUGAGGCUGAGGGCCUCUUCAGGGGCAGAUCCUGAAGCAGUUCUAGGGGUCUUCUCUAAAGAAAAUAAAAGCCAUUAAUAUGAAAUUAGGUCCAGAGCCUUGGAAGAGGCCGGUGCAAGUAAAGGGCCCAAAGCUUGAGCUGCAGGAGCCUCCCAGAACAUCCGCCUUUGGUCUUCUCUGCUCUUGGAUCCUCAGUGAGACUUGAUGGGGUCUGACAUCAUUCUUACCCUUGAGAAUGGGCCAGGGAACUAGCAUGACAUGGAACAGGGCCUCUUCUCAGUGACACACCUAAGAACCCUCUCCCUCCUCCCCAACUUGCCCCUCUCCUCUCAAUCUUGAAGCUGCUAUUGCUGUACUUCAUCACGCUGAAUUUAUUGAGACACAAACUUUUAUCAGGCUUUAGAUUUUAUUUUAUUUUAUUUUUUUUGAGAUGGAUCCUCACUCUGUCACCCAGGCUGGAGUCCAUCUUGGCUUACUGCAACCUCCACCUCCCGGGUUCAAGCAAUUCUCCCACCUCAGCCUCCCGAGUAGCUGGAAUUUCAGGCGAGUGACACCACAUCUGGUUAAUUUUUGUAUUUUUAGUAGAGAUGGGGUUUCACAAUGUUGGCCAGGAUGGUCUGGAAUUCCUGACCUCAGGUGAUCCGCUCGCCUCGGCCUCCCAAAGUGCUGGGAUUACAGGCAUGAGCCACUGGACCCCGCCAGAUUUUAUUUUAUUUUAUGAGUCAGGAUCUCAAUGUGUCGCCGUUGGAGUGCAGUGGCGCGAUCAUGGCUCAUGCAGCCUCAAACUCUCCAUCUCAAGUGAUCCUCCAACUUCAGCCUCCUAAAUAGCUAGGACUGUAGGUACUCCACAAAUGCCUGGUGAAUUUUUGUUUACUUUUUGUAGAAACAGAGUCUCACUAUAUUGCCCGGGCUGGUCUCAAAACUCCUGGAUUUAAGUGAUCCUCUCCUUGGCUUCCCAAAGCUCUGGGAUUACAGAUGUGAGCCACUGCCCCUGGCCUAGGCUUUAGAUUUAAAAAUUCAACUCCUGCCCCUAUUUCCCCCCACAAAUAUGCUCUCUGGCAUAAAUUUCAAAGGUCUAUUUGAAACUCAAAAGCUAAGAAUGGACUCUUUGUUCUGCUGUAUCCCCCAUCACUUCCUGAGGGAAUGAGCUUCAAAUGUCCUACCUGCUUCCCAAAUGGGCGGAAAGAUUCAGGAACAAAGCCCACAUUAGAUAACAGUAUAAAAUAGCUUCCGGCUGCAUGGUUAGAACUGUUUAUUUACACAGGUUUAGGAGCACCAGGUGAAAAAUGUGAGCUUUGCCCUCACUUGGGGUUCAAAUUUACCUGGGCAUGUUUGGUGGGGGAUGGAACCACACCGUAGGUGCAAUUGUGUUCCAGAGAGAGAGGCGACAAUGGAGAAGAAGGAAUACACCAUGCUAGGCUCAGACGUGGGGCCUUGGGUGGGAUGUAGGCAGUGGCUCUUUGCACGGGGUGUGGCUAUAACUGGGACCUCCAGGUGGUGGCUCAUGGUUGCACUGGGGAAGUAAACUAAUCUAGGCAUAAAAGUUGAUGAAGCUGUAGCACCAGGAGUCCAAGCUGUGAAGGAAGUUGAGUCCUUCCUCCGCCAGCAGCAGACUGUGAGCUGCAGAGUCAAAUAUGAUGGAAAGUUUCCUUUUGAGAGGAGAAAAAAAUGGUGAAAAGAAAAUUCUAGCAAAUAAAAAAUGAUUUGCAAGGCUUCUCCUGUACUUGCUAAAGAUAGGGUCUUGGUAUGUUGCCCAGGCUGGACUUGAACUCCUGGCCUCAAGUGAUCCUCUCGCUUCAACCUCCCAAAGCGUUGGAAUUAAAGGUGUGACUUACUGUGCCAGACCUGAAUAUAUUUGAUAAUACUGAAUUGUAAACUGAAAAUGGUUAAGAUGGUAAAUUUUAUGUUAAUGUGUAUUUCGCCACAAUAAAAAAUGGAAAAUAUGAAAAAUGUACACAUGGGUUUGUUUAUUUAUUUAUUUUGAGAAAGAAUUUUACUCUUAUUGCCCAGGCUGGAGUGCAAUGGCGCCAUCUUGGCUCACUGCAACCUCUGCCUCCCAGGUUCAAGUUAUUCUCCUGCCUCAGCCUUCCAAAUAGCUGGAAUUACAGGCUCCCGCCACUAUGUCCAGCUAAUUUUUUUGUAUUUUUAGUAGAGACAAGGUUUCACCAUGUUGGCCAGGCUAGUCUCGAACUCCUGGCCUCAAGUGAUUCCCCCCGCCUCAGCCUCCCAAAGUGCUGGGAUUACAGGCAUGAGCCACUGCACCAAGCCACAUAGGUUUAUUUUUAUAUAUACAUAUACAUGUCUAUAAAUGUAUAAAAAAAGGACUAGAAGGAUACACUCCAAACUGUUAAUAGUUGUCACUUCUGGGAGGGGGUUAGUGAGUGUCUGGAACACACUGGGGGAUGGAAGGAAGACCUUUUGCUUUUUUUUUUUUUUUUUUUUUUUUUGAGACAAGGUCUUUGUCAUCCAGGCUGGAGUACAGUGGUGCAAUCAUAGCUCACUGGAGUCUCGAACUUCUGGGCUAAAGCAAUCCUCCCACCUCAGCCUCUUGAGUAGCUGGGACUACAGGUGUAUGCCAUCCUACCCAGCUAACUUUAAAAUUUUUUUUGUGGAGACAAGGUCUCACCUUGCUGAUCAAGCUGGUCUUGAACUCCUGGCCUCGAGCAAUCCUCCUGCCUUGGCCUCCCAAAGUGCUGGGAUUACAGGCAUGAACCAUCAUGCUUGGGCCCAUCUUUUGCUUUUUUUUUUUUUUUUUUUUUGAGAUGGAGUCUCGCUCUGUCGCCCAGGCUGCAGUGCAGUGGCACGAUCUUGGUUCACUGCAACCUCUGCCUCCUGGGUUCAAGCAAUUCUCCUGCCUCAGCCUCCUGAGUAGCUGGGACUACAGGUGUACACCACCACACUCGGCUAAUUUUUUUGUAUUUUUAGUAGAGACGGGGUUUCACCAUGUUGGUCAGGCUGCUCUCGAACUCCUGACCUCAUGAUCCGCCCACCUCAGCCUCCCAAAGUGCUGGGAUUAUAGGCAAGAGCCACCACACCCAGCUCCGCCUUUUGCUUUUCAAGAUAUUUCUGUACUAUUUGAAUUUUUACAGCAAGAGCAUAGUGACUGGGAAGGAAAGGUUGAGCAGCAAUCCUGAAACCUAUUUCUUCUCUUUACCAAGGAUCCUUGGGGGAAGAAAGGGAUCCCCACUCACAUCCCCUUGUAAACACUCCAGUAACCAGAGCUUCUGGUAAGCAAACUAAUGGUAUUUACUAGCAGAAAGAUAAUGGUAAGUCUUUAUCUGUGUAAUGCAUUUAUCAAUAUAUACGUUGUCUGCCUAGGGUGUUUACCAGAAGUAAAAUUGGAAUUUGUGGAUUUAUGGAGCAUAGCGUGCUGGAAAAUGUCACAUAAGCUGUGUAAUUAAUGGGGUGUAAAAUGAAGAUGCUCUGUAAUCAAUAUGGCUCCUUCGUGUAAGUGGUGGCAUGUACAAUUGCUUAGACUCACACAUUAAAUACAAGUGCAAACAUAUUCUAUGCAGUAGAGGAAUGCUCUCUGUGGGGAGGUGUUGAUGGUGUUGAACUUCAAGGGAGGGAUGUUUUGCCUGUGCCUUGGGAUCGUCUGUAUCCUUUGAAUUAGUAGAGUUUGGUACUGUGAGAUCUAUGAUUCAUGUGAUUUGACUUGACAAAUUGGGAGACAUAGAUUGGGUAACAUCAGCACAUAAAUGCAUCUUACAGCUGUGGAAUUUGAGAGAUAUAGUCAGAGGAAGGGUGAGAGAGGUCAUAGAUACAAAACAGAAGAGCAGGCUGGGCAUGGUGGCUCACACCUCAGCACUUUGGGA
rnacentral:lncRNA from 1 species